CUGCUGCCUCCCGUAGGAGUUUGGGCCGUGUCUCAGUCCCAAUGUGGCCGGUCACCCUCUCAGGUCGGCUACUGAUCGUCGGCUUGGUAGGCCGUUACCCCACCAACUACCUAAUCAGACGCGGGUCCAUCUCAUACCGUCAAGGCUUUGGCCCCUGUGCCAUGCGGCACUGUGGUCUUAUGCGGUAUUAGCAGUCAUUUCUAACUGUUAUCCCCCUGUAUGAGGCAGGUUACCCACGCGUUACUCACCCGUCCGCCA
rnacentral:rRNA from 1 species